rnacentral:rRNA from 1 species
UGGGGAAUAUUGCACAAUGGGCGCAAGCCUGAUGCAGCCAUGCCGCGUGUGUGAAGAAGGCCUUCGGGUUGUAAAGCACUUUCAGCGGGGAGGAAGGCGUUAAGGUUAAUAACCUUGGCGAUUGACGUUACCCGCAGAAGAAGCACCGGCUAACUCCGUGCCAGCAGCCGCGGUAAUACGGAGGGUGCAAGCGUUAAUCGGAAUUACUGGGCGUAAAGCGCACGCAGGCGGUCUGUCAAGUCGGAUGUGAAAUCCCCGGGCUCAACCUGGGAACUGCAUUGGAAACUGGCAGGCUAGAGUCUUGUAGAGAGGGGUAGAAUUCCAGGUGUAGCGAUGAAAGGCGUAGAGAUCUGGAGGAAUACCGGUGGCGAAGGGGGCCCCCUGGACAAAGACUGACGCUCAGGUGCGAAGGCGUGGGGGGCAAACAGG